rnacentral:rRNA from 1 species
CNGCNGUCGACGAUUCCUACGGGAGGCAGCAGUGGGGAAUUUUGGACAAUGGGGGCAACCCUGAUCCAGCCAUCCCGCGUGUGCGAUGAAGGCCUUCGGGUUGUAAAGCACUUUUGGCAGGGAAGAAAGGGCGCUGGUUAAUACCUGGCGUUGAUGACGGUACCUGCAGAAUAAGCACCGGCUAACUACGUGCCAGCAGCCGCGGUAAUACGUAGGGUGCAAGCGUUAAUCGGAAUUACUGGGCGUAAAGGGUGCGUCGGCGGUUUGGCAAGAAAGGUGUGAAAUCCCAGGGCUUAACCUUGGAACUGCACUUUUAACUGCCAGGCUAGAGUACGUCAGAGGGGGGUAGAAUUCCACGUGUAGCAGUGAAAUGCGUAGAGAUGUGGAGGAAUACCGAUGGCGAAGGCAGCCCCCUGGGAUGAUACUGACGCUCAGGCACGAAAGCGUGGGGAGCAAACAGGAUUAGAUACCCUGGUAGUCCACGCCCUAAACGAUGUCAACUAGCUGUUGGGGCCGUUAGGCUUUAGUAGCGCAGCUAACGCGUGAAGUUGACCGCCUGGGGAGUACGGUCGCAAGAUUAAAACUCAAAUGAAUUGACGG